GAUGUACGCUGGCGGCGUGCCUAAUACAUGCAAGUCGAGCGAACGGACGAGAAGCUUGCUUCUCUGAUGUUAGCGGCGGACGGGUGAGUAACACGUGGAUAACCUACCUAUAAGACUGGGAUAACUUCGGGAAACCGGAGCUAAUACCGGAUAAUAUUUUGAACCGCAUGGUUCAAAAGUGAAAGACGGUCUUGCUGUCACUUAUAGAUGGAUCCGCGCUGCAUUAGCUAGUUGGUAAGGUAACGGCUUACCAAGGCAACGAUGCAUAGCCGACCUGAGAGGGUGAUCGGACACACUGGAACUGAGACACGGUCCAGACUCCUACGGGAGGCAGCAGUAGGGAAUCUUCCGCAAUGGGCGAAAGCCUGACGGAGCAACGCCGCGUGAGUGAUGAAGGUCUUCGGAUCGUAAAACUCUGUUAUUAGGGAAGAACAUAUGUGUAAGUAACUGUGCACGUCUUGACGGUACCUAAUCAGAAAGCCACGGCUAACUACGUG
rnacentral:rRNA from 1 species